UCCGGAAUUACUGGGCGUAAAGGGCUCGUAGGUGGUUGAUCGCGUCGGAAGUGUAAUCUUGGGGCUUAACCCUGAGCGUGCUUUCGAUACGGGUUGACUUGAGGAAGGUAGGGGAGAAUGGAAUUCCUGGUGGAGCGGUGGAAUGCGCAGAUAUCAGGAGGAACACCAGUGGCGAAGGCGGUUCUCUGGGCCUUUCCUGACGCUGAGGAGCGAAAGCGUGG
rnacentral:rRNA from 1 species